CAGAAACUAAGAGGGUUUAACUCUUAUUUAAGGCUUUGAAGGCCUUCGGUUUGGGGUGUUAUCCUAAGUUUCU
rnacentral:tRNA from 1 species